CGCUGGCGGCAUGCCUAACACAUGCAAGUCGAACGAGACCUUCGGGUCUAGUGGCGCACGGGUGCGUAACACGUGGGAAUUUGCCUCGGGGUAUGGAAUAACUCAGGGAAACUUGAGCUAAUACCAUAUAAUGUCUUCGGACCAAAGAUUUAUCGCCCUGAGAUAAGCCCGCGUAGGAUUAGCUAGUUGGUGGGGUAAAGGCUCACCAAGGCGACGAUCCUUAGCUGGUCUGAGAGGACAACCAGCCACACUGGGACUGAGACACGGCCCAGACUCCUACGGGAGGCAGCAGUGGGAAUUUUGGACAAUGGGCGCAAGCCUGAUCCAGCAAUGCCGCGUGCAGGAUGAAGGCCUUCGGGUUGUAAACUGCUUUGUACGGAACGAAACGGUGAGCUCUAAUACAGUUUGCUAAUGACGGUACCGUAAGAAUAAGCACCGGCUAACUACGUG
rnacentral:rRNA from 1 species